GAGGGUCUAUUUGAAACAAUCUCUCUAUCCUCACAAGAUAGGUUAAGGUACGUGUACACACUACCCUCUCCAGACCCUACGGUAUGGGAUAAUAGUGGGUAUGUUUUUGUUGUUGUUUUGCUUUUUCCUAUUUAGGAUGCAUAUAUAAGUGGACAAGAUUGUGCUGAUAAUGUUGAGAAAAGGCCCAAAAUUGGAACUCUCAGAUAUAAAGAACCUUUGCUGACUAAAAUGAAUCAGAACUUGCCCUACUCUAUAUGAGUAUUUCUCCUGAUAUUCAGUAGAGUUUUGAGACAAAGUCUACCCUUUCUACUACCAUUGUAUACAUAUUCUCUUCAUUUUUGGUUUUCUUAGGCAAAAUGUAACUGGAUUCCUACUUCAUGAAGUCAGCGCUCUAAAGAUUAGGCGGAUCUAGGAUUCUGAAAAGACGGGUGCAACAUUUCGGGAUGAGAAAAUCGAGUAAACUUCAUGCGUGUGAAAACUGGGAAGUUUCAUGGGAAUUGAUUGCUAUAGUGAUUUAAAGAAUAAAAAGGAAAGUUACGUUAGUAGAAAUAGAAAGAAAAGAAAUAUUUAAGAAAAAAAUUAAACAAAACUUUUGGUUGGGGGAUUUGAUCCCUUGACCUUAGGUUGGUGGAAAUAAGGCGCCAAAGCCAAUGAACCACUUCACCUCUUUUGACCUUGGGUUCCAUUAAAUAUGUAUAUGUAGUUUUGCCAAAUUAUGUACAUCAUAUAUAUACUUUAACCCGAGUACCACGGGUUCACGUGAACCACAUUUUAUACCGUGGAUUCGCCCCUGUUUCUAGCAGGUAUCCUACUUGGUCACCUUGGAAAGUAAUGUUGUGCAGAGAAAUUUUCUCCAUCAAAGAGGCAAAGAGAUUAUGUAGGGCAUCUACCCCUGACAGAAAAGAAGACGGAAAGAAAGUCGAUUAAUACCUUAGCAAUACCGCGAAUAUUGAUGUUUGUAUUUGUUAUUGUUGAGAAGGAGUGAAUAGAGAUCCAACCAAUUAUUGGUGAUGAAUCCAGCUUUUCUCCGUUCUUUGGAGUAAGGGGGCGCGAGGGGAAGAGAUGGGACCAAAAAAAGUGAAUUCAUUCGUGAUAGUUGCAGUAGUAAUCGUUUGAUCUGACUAAUAAAACUUUUUGAUUUUAAUCAAUUGUUAAAAUACUGCAACAUA